rnacentral:lncRNA from 1 species
UUGGGAACAAUCAAGUCAUACGAGAAUAAUCAUCCACGAAAGUGACAAAAUAUUGAACUUUAUUAGAAGAAAUAUUGAUUGGUCCCCAUACAUCAGAAUGAACUAAAUCAAAUAAACCAAAAGCACGACUACUAGUUCGUAACGGAAAAGACACACGAUGAUGUUUGCUAAGCUGGCACGCAUCACAUUCAAGGGAGGACACAUUGCGAAGACUCACAACUUGACGUUUUAAAGUAGAUAGAGAAGCGUGACCAAGACGGCAAUGCCACUGCAUGGGUGAAACAGAAGACUGAAGAGCUCGAGGAGGAGAGACCGGUAAAAUAUCCAGGUAGUACAAGCUACCAACUUCAUGCCCCAUACCAAUCAUCCUCUUCGUCUUGAGAUCCUGAAAAACACACAAGGAGGGAUAAAAUGUUACAGAGCACUGAAGAGAUUUGGUAAUUUUACUAAUAGACAAUAAACUAGAGGGAAAUCCAGGAACGUGAAGGACAGUUGACAGAUUAAUGUUAGGACUGGGACAAGUAUUGCUUGAGCCUGCAACACUAGUUUGGGAAUCGUUAGCCAGGGUGACACAUGUGGAAUGAGUAAUAGGAUGAUAAUCAAGGAGAGAAGUAGACGAACCAGUCAUGUGUUCUGUUGCAACAGAAUCGAUAAUCCACGGAUUGUGAGAGGAUGACAAUAGACAGUGAGAAGAUGCAGUACCUGACUGAGCGAGUGUGGCUAUAGAAGUGGAAGUAGCCUGUUUAUGAGCUAAAAAUUCAGCAUACUCAUCCCGUGGUACAGUUAAGAGAUCAGAUCCUUGUGUUGAGCUACAAUUAGUUACCGAUCUAGAUAUUGGGUGAUGGUCCUCAUUAGAUGAGACCUGAUUGGCAGAAUCAGAUGGUUUGCCAUGUAUGUUCCAACAAUAAUCAACGAAGUGACCUGUACAACCACAGUGAGUACAUUUUCGAGGUUUACAAUUUCCCAAACGGCUACUGCUUCUAAUAUCUCGUCCACCUCUAGAACUAACACCACGUCCACUUCGACUGCUGCGUCCACCCCUAAAUGAGCCACCCCUGGCAACAAAGGCAGAAUGAUCUCCACUAGGUGUAUUAUCGGAGAGAGUAGAGCGUUGAAUACGAGAGAAUGUCUCUGGGAGACUCGGAAGUUCUUUUCCACCCAAUAUCUGUGCCCUGACAGCUUCAAACUCCGAUGGAAGACCAAGAAGGA